GGGUUCCCAUGGGCCAACAUUUCUGCCCCAGGGGAGAUAAUAUGAAGAGUCAGAAUGUCUUCCUUUCUUGAAGCAGCCUCCAGGUUGGGCCAACAGGGCUUGGCUGUGGGAUGUGGGCGAAGCCUCCUGCACCCGUCCCCAAGGGAGUGGUCAUAGACUUCCUUGGACUGCUUGGACAUUGGAAAAAAUUUAAAAAUCUUACUCUUGGAGGGCUGAAAGCUGGGUGGGCUACUUCUGAACAUUGUUUAGCUUAUUUGGGUAAAGACUAAGAGUUUGUGAUGCAUUGGUGUCCUGGGGUGUCCAUGUCAUUGCUCAUUACAAAGAAGCAAAGCAAGUUCUGGCCCAGAGGGAGCAGUCAUCCCCGACGCUGGCAGCCUUCCCAGAAGAGGGUCGACCAAGUGUCAGGGGCUGUGUUGGGGACUCAGGAGACAUCUUGGCAGAAAGGUGGCUGUUACCUUUCAGAUAAGGACCGGCUGGGCCAGGAGGAACCUUGACUUGGAUUUGACAUGCCUGCUUCACAGUACAUGAUGUUUAGAUAGACACCAAGCAGCAACAUGAGAAGCAUUUCCUUUCAGGUGAGAGUGGAAGCUCUGGAAAGUUGGAGGUUCUCCUGGUUAUCAUGCUGCACAUCAGGUCACCCCCAAAGUUAGUGGCUUGAAAUAGCAACAAGCGUAUUACCUCUUCCAAUUUCUGUGGGUCAGGAAGCCAGGACUGGGCUCAGCUGGGUGGCUCUGGCUUGAGGGUCCCUCCUAUGGCGUUUGGGGCGCUGGUGUAGCAGGAACUGGACGGGCGUCUCUCUCUCUGCCUGUGUCUUAGGUCAGACACGGCUAGUUUGAGACCCAGCCCUGCCUGGUCGGUUUCUCUCUGCAUAGGCUUCCUCACAGCAAGGCGGUCUCAGGGAAGCUGGCUGCUUUCAUAGUGGCCGAGAGCAUCCAAGAGGAGAAUUCCAGAGGCCAAGGUAGAAGCUGCAUCACCUUUAUGACCUAAACACGGGAGUUACUUCUGCUGUGGUCCAAACAGUCACAACUUCCUCCCUCCUCAUUUUGAGGGCAGAGACCCCACCUCUCAAUGGGAAGAAUGCCCACCUCUCAUAAGGACACCAGUUUUAUUGGACUAGGGCCCAUCCCAAUGACCUGGUCUUAACUUGGUACAAUUUGCAAGGACCCUAUAUCCAAAUAAGGUCAUAUCCUGAGGUCUUGGGGGACUUCAACAUACCUUUUUUGGGAGGGACACACUUCAACACAUAACAGUGAUAAAAUGCAUCAGUCUAUUAUUAGUAAUUUCCCUUUUAGUAUGAAUUCUUAUUUUUUUUCUUUAAAAUAUAUAGUUUUAAAUUUAAGAAGUAGUCAAUAGUCGUGGAAAAUAAAAAACCCCUCAAAUGACAUCAACAAUUUAAAGCAUGUCUUUAUCCCAGUCCUGUCUACUAGCUCCCUCACUGGAAGCAGUCAUGGCAGUAGUUGUUUUGGAUGUCCCCUGAGAAACUUCCAUGCACCUCAAUGUUUUCAUCAAUAAAAUGGAAAUAUUACCUUCCUCACAAGAUAAUGUUUAGAAUGAAAUGAGUUAGUAAAUGUAAAAUACAGUGUGAGAUAAGGCACUUAAUAAAUGUUAUUCAUUUUCCCAGCUUAGUGAGGAUAGUCUAGAAGUGGUUUACAGUGAAACUAAUGAAGGUUAGGUUUCAGGCCCCCCACUUGCACGGGGAGGACCCAGGAAUGUGUUCAAUGGAUGUACGUUUUUGUACAAUUUGCAGAAGUAAGAUAUCUUAACUACCAUUGGUGAAGAACUGAGUAAGUCUCCUUCCAUUUUAACUUCACCUUCAUUCAACUUGCCCUGUUCUUGGGUGAAGUUGGAAUGGCAACAGGCAUUUUUAAGAUGCAAGGAGAAGCUGAGUUGAGAAAACAUUUCCUGUAGGUUUGCGGGGAUAUAUCAAAGAGCUAGCACAAAUAUAUUUUGCUAUAUGUCUCUGCCAUGCAUUCCUCCUGCUGUGUCCACUUGGCCAGAUUCAUGACCUAAAGGUCCAGGACUGGGGUCAUGUUCAAUGUGAAGGUGUUCUGUGGCGCCCAGCUUGGAAGGAUGGGCUCCAUGGAGGAGAAACCAGGUUUGAAAUGGAUGAGCCAGAAGCUACUCUAGGAAAAACACUUAAUCACCAAAUGUGCCCAAAGCAGAAGAUUGGGUUCUCAUCAAUGUCUGUUCAAAAAUGCAAUUUCUCUUCUGUCAUGACUGUUCUUGAUAACGUAAUAAUAUAAUUGUAAACACAGUAUACAUUUUUUUCCUUUAUGAUAGAAAUUAUGCAAAAUAGAGUUGAUCAAAAUUCCUGUGUUUGUAGGGUACAAACCUGUAAACUGUACCUAGCCAGUACCUCCAUCUGGGAACUUGCAUGUUUUGAGUACCCCGUCUCUCCAUAAUAAAAGACAAAUUUCAAUCAUCCCUGCUGGAGGAAGGGCUAAAUUAUCUUUGUAUUCACUCUAUAGGAGACAUUGCAAAGUUGUUGUAAGAAGAGGAGAUCAAAGAGUUUUCGGCCAAAACCAUAUCCCUGUCUAUCUCUAUGUAUAUCUAUUUUGACAUAGAAGUCUUCCAGGAAAUUAGUACAAAUAGUCUGUUACUUAUUUCCUGGCUUUUGUGUUACCAGCCUUAAAAAAUUUGUAACUUGUUAUAGUUUAUUUUUUCUUUCUAGGUAAAUAUUCACUUUAAUGCCUAAUUUUGUGUUUAUAAUUCUGUUUUCUUUUUCUUAAUGUGGAACCCCCCAUUUGAGUAAACCUCAGACCCCACUAAAUCGAGAUCCACCCCACACUGGCCUGAAAGUUUAACCAUCUCAUUGGGGAGGCAAGCAUGACAAACACUGCUGAAAAUCCUAAACAAGUUAAAAUGAAAACCGACUCUGCAAAAAGUGCAUGUGGUUACUCAAAAUGCAUGAAGAGCACAGGGGAAUCAGCAUGGGCAAAGCCUGAAAUUGGCCUCCAUCAGCCACUCCAAGUCUUGUCUGAGGACGAGCGUGCGACCGGGAGGUCCUGGCAUGUGGUCAGCCUACCUGCAUUGAUACGGGUUCGCUGCCACUCAUGUGUGAUGGACAGAUGCUGCUGAAGAUGGAUUGUGACAAUGAACCUGCACAGCUGUUCCAAGUGAACCUAAGGAGGCGGACAGCUAGCCAUGCAGGGAGAAGAGAUGUUCCAGGCAAAGCGGUAAGGGCAACAGACAGACAGCAACAGUCUUGGAGCAAAGAGGCGGAGCUGGGCGAAGAGCUGUCAAAUGAGGUCCUUGCUCUCCAACUAGGUUACGACUCCUUUUCCAUUGAAGUUUAUGACUGGCGAAGACCGUCAGCCCUAUGGUGGCUCCUUUUAGUAAUGCUGAAGAAUGGUUAAGCUUAUUUUCCGUGUCAUAGCAGACUUUGAUUAUACGUAGUUGUUGUGUCUGGGGUUAGGUAUCUUUUCAUGUUUGUAAUGCGUAAUGAGUCAUUUUACGACACGAUACUACUCUUCUGUCUUUCUUCAUGAUAUGACUGUUUUGCUGAAGCUUCUUAUAGUCAUGAUUUUAAAGGUCUACCUUUCUUUAAUGUAUACUAUUAUUUCGACCAUUU
rnacentral:lncRNA from 1 species